CCUUGGUCCACCAACAAUGAUGAGCAUGUCUCCACAUGCCCUGAAAGCUAAACCCCAUUCAUUCAUUGAAUUUACUCGCUCAGGCAAUCUACUCUUUUCACAGCAUCAUUUGAAGAUGAUGUCUCACCGACAGUCCAUGUAGGGUAUCACAGUUCAUGUAUUUGUUUUAAAAUCAUACACCUCUUCACAUGAAGGCAUACUAGGGUCUCUGUCCUAAUCCCAUCAAUUACAUAAAACUUGACAUUUAUUAUGGCCCUUGAGCACAUUUUUCUUGGUUUGUGUAUGCUUGGCAAAGCCACCCAAGUGCUCGUUAUUGAGUUAUAAAGCUCGGCUGAGCCAAAAUAUUGUUGCAUGGCUCAUAUAACUCACUAAGAUAGCAAUUCCCCCUAGGCUUGUUGAGCUCAAAAUAUUGUCCAUAAAUGCUUCAUGUGUUAAUACAUGGAUUCAUUGCCAUUGGAAAGGAAUUGCUUGUUUUUGGAAAUGAAGUAACGUCAUGAGCAUAGAUGCGCCAAGGUGCUUAUUUGGAUCAGCCAGCUCAGGGGAAAUUGCUAUCCUAGAUGGCAGUUAUGAUCCAACCAGCAAUAUUUUGAGCUCGGCCGAGCUUUAUAACUCAAUAAUGAGCACUUGGGUGACUAUCUCAAGCAUGCACAAACAAGGAAAAUUGUGCUCAGGGACAUUUAUAAAUGUGAAGUUUUAUGUAAUUUGUAGGAUUGGAACACAGACCAUAGUAUGCUUUUAUGUGAGGAGGUGUGUGAUUUAAACAUAAGGACAUGGACUGUAAUACCCUAUAAGGACUGUUGGUGAGGCAUCACCUUCAAUUGAUGUUGUGGAAAAAGAGUAGAUUACCUAAGAAGUUGAUUCAAUGAGUGAAUAGGGUUUAGCUUUUAGGGCAUGUGGAGACAUGCUCAUAAUUUUGGUAGACCAAGGAAUUUAGGUGGAGGCAUGAUUAAGCUAAAUGCGUGGGUUCCAGGUGAAGGCGCUCCAGGGUGGAACUUGCUUUCAGCAAAGACCUCUACUAGUUUUGUGUAAAAUUGUGUAGUAAUGGGUUGCUAGCUCUGGUUAUACAACUGACUAGAAUUUGCUACAGACAGUUCCAGCGGAAGUGGUUCCAGACUACAGCAGGUUCAGAUGAACGAUUGUGUCCUACUUUAGUCCGUGAUCAGAAGCUCCUUAAUAGCUUGUAAAUUGGCAGCAAAUGCUAUGAGCCUAAAGCAAAAAGCAAAUGAUUCUGUGAUGGGAUUUUAGCAUGUAACAAUGGCUGUUUAUGUUGUUACGGUGAGUAUUCGUACCUCAUCAGCUGCAGUGACACAUAUAUGUAUACAUACCUAACGUCGACGACCCAAAAGUACUAAAAGCUUGGCAUAUCUGAGUGUGGUGCAGAGAGAAAAGCCAAAGAGGAAGUUGCUUUGCCUCGUCUUCUCUUUGAUAUUUACUAUUCCAAUUCAAGAAUUUACUUUUACCCUAGUCGAUCACAAUUGAAAAGAACUAUAUACAUACAAACAUAUAUUUACAUUCAUAUAAUGUAUGAUCAGGAUCAUCCUUCAUAGUUCAUGUAAAUAUUUGUGUUGAAUCAAAAUGGAUGACAUUGUUUUUAUACAGAAGGAAACAAACAACCCUUGUACUUCUAGUGUUGCAGGUGUAAUCUGCAAAAGUAAAUAAUAAACUCAACAAAAGUGGAGAUGGAGAAGGCUAGGAAAUGGUGGUGGGAAGAAAUUAGAGGAUUUGGGGGCAAAUGAUCUGUUACCCUUUUAUGUAACUGAUUUUAUCAAUGAAAGUGGGUGAUAGAUGGAAAAGUGAAAUUUUCAAGAUUGGUGGAAAAAC